CUUCCAGUACCUGCAGAGAGCCUAUAAGAAAGAUGGAGAGGGACUUUUUCCAAGAGCAUAUAGUGACAGGACAAGACAGGAAACCUUUAAACUGAAAGGGGGCUUUGAUUCAGAAUCUCUGAUACAAGAGAAUCCGCCAUGCAGGAUGGGGGUGUAAUUCCAUCAAGGACUUCUGGUGACCUCAUAAACCAUGAGAGCUGGCAUGGACUUUAAUGGGCACCACGUGCUUAAGUUGCCAUGCAUCAUUUUGAAAAUGUAGGGCUUCAUUUGAUACUGCAGAAGGAUACCAGACCUACCAUGUCAAAUUGUUUCUCUUUCUUCUGAAGGAGCCACCCGCUUUAAGUUACAGUCAGUCCUCUUUGGUAGCAAAUGAAAUAUACCAUUCUGGAAAAUUAGUAUUUUCUCUGGCAAAAUGAACUUGAAAAGUGUGUUUCAUAGAAAAGCACAUAUUUGGGUUAUAUUCUUUUAAAUAAACUUUCUAAAAUGAUGGCCGUAAAUUCAAGUAAAGGUGCGGUUUGUGCAGGAUUGGCUUUGCUUGCAGAUUUCUAAGUAAGAGACAUUUAAAAAAAUUAAUUCAUACAUCAGUUAGAAAAUAUAGGAAUAGAAUUGUUAUGGGUCAGUUGAAAAAAUGUAGACCAUGUUAAACCCAGUUUAAGUCAAGCUAGGUAAGUUUGCUCAAAUUGCUGAUGGCGAAUAACCUGAGUUAAAAUUUACUUGAACUAAAGUAAUUUAACUGUAUUUAGUACACCAAUUCUAGGAUUCUGUUAUUAGGAAUUUCCAGGGAGUUUCAAUCAGUGAAAUUUAUUCUAUCACCUUUGUACAAUGCUUGGAGAUUUUCUCCCACCUUCUCUCAACUUAGAUUUUGCCUGCUGAAACCAAUGUUCAGCCAUUGUGCAAGCCUAUACAAAGUUGAUGGUUAUCAGCCUAAAAUGAGGUCUGUCAGUGUGGCUAUGAUUCAGGUAAAUGUGGCAAUAGAUGCAUGACCUAAGUGUGUCAGCUUAGCUAAUCUAUUGUAUAUGAUAUCUGUCUUUAACAAGGAGAUGCUCUAAAAAUUGCUCAUCAUGAUGAGUGCAUACCAGGAAAGGCUCUGUCCUUCUUAAUUCUGAGAUUACAGGUCAGUGAACUGCCUAGUCUCUAUUUUUUUCUCAACAUUCUAACUAAUUUUAUUCCUAUUUAUUGGUUCAUAAAUAACAAAAUCAUUGUGGCAUGGCUAGAUGAUGUUCCUGUAUUAUAUACAUACUGGGAUGUGUUAUUUUUUAUUUAGCUCUAAGUAAUACAUUAUAGGGAAAAAGGAUACCUUCUAGAAAAUAUCCAAAAACUACUUGCUCUGGCCUUUCUGCCACCUUAGUGUGAAAUACCUGCUGUUUGUCAUUCUCUGGGAUAACUGCUGAACUACAUGCAUCACUGCUCCUUAUGCUGUGUUGCAGUGAGUAGUACAUUUUUUCACCAUGUGCAUGGCUUAUCCAUAUAGGGCAUGAUGAGUACACACCUUUUAUAUAUUCCAUGUCUUAGACCCAGGUAGAAUAAUUACAUUUCUUAAAUUUAGUUUAAAUCUCUUCUUAAAGAACUGCAAAUGUGGAUGUACAGGAGAAGGUUGGCUCUCUGGUCUUGGUACCAUAGUACAAUAUAUGUAGAUUUGAUACAAGAAGUUCCCUUUGACACUCAGAAUUAUUCCAGUUGUAAUCUCAUAGCUGAGAUAGUUAAUAAAUUACAAGCAUAUGGAAGACUGUAACAGCCUUGGGAUGCAAGUUGUACUGUUAGGUUAGAUAGUUUGUACAGGAGGAGGAUCCCUAAGGCUUGUUGAAUAAAUAGAUGCAUCUUCUCAGUACUCCAUGAAAAA